rnacentral:rRNA from 1 species
GAUGAACGCUGGCGGCGUGCUUAACACAUGCAAGUCGAGCGAAGCGCUUACGACAGAACCUUCGGGGAAAGAUGUAAGGGACUGAGCGGCGGACGGGUGAGUAACGCGUGGGUAACCUGCCUCAUACAGGGGGAUAACAGUUGGAAACGGCUGCUAAUACCGCAUAAGCGCACAGUAUCGCAUGAUACAGUGUGAAAAACUCCGGUGGUAUGAGAUGGACCCGCGUCUGAUUAGCUAGUUGGAGGGGUAACGGCCCACCAAGGCGACGAUCAGUAGCCGGCCUGAGAGGGUGAACGGCCACAUUGGGACUGAGACACGGCCCAGACUCCUACGGGAGGCAGCAGUGGGGAAUAUUGCACAAUGGGGGAAACCCUGAUGCAGCGACGCCGCGUGGAGGAAGAAGGUUUUCGGAUUGUAAACUCCUGUCGUUAGGGACGAUAAUGACGGUACCUAACAAGAAAGCACCGGCUAACUACGUGCCAGCAGCCGCGGUAAAACGUAGGGUGCAAGCGUUGUCCGGAAAUACUGGGUGUAAAGGGAGCGCAGGCGGACCGGCAAGUUGGAAGUGAAAACUAUGGGCUCAACCCAUAAAUUGCUUUCAAAACUGCUGGCCUUGAGUAGUGCAGAGGUAGGUGGAAUUCCCGGUGUAGCGGUGGAAUGCGUAGAUAUCGGGAGGAACACCAGUGGCGAAGGCGACCUACUGGGCACCAACUGACGCUGAGGCUCGAAAGCAUGGGUAGCAAACAGGAUUAGAUACCCUGGUAGUCCAUGCCGUAAACGAUGAUUACUAGGUGUUGGAGGAUUGACCCCCUCAGUGCCGCAGUUAACACAAUAAGUAAUCCACCUGGGGAGUACGACCGCAAGGUUGAAACUCAAAGGAAUUGACGGGGGCCCGCACAAGCAGUGGAGUAUGUGGUUUAAUUUGAAGCAACGCGAAGAACCUUACCAGGUCUUGACAUCCGAUGCAUAGCACAGAGAUGUGUGAAGUCCUUCGGGACAUCGAGACAGGUGGUGCAUGGUUGUCGUCAGCUCGUGUCGUGAGAUGUUGGGUUAAGUCCCGCAACGAGCGCAACCCUUAUUGCCAGUUACUACGCAAGAGGACUCUGGCGAGACUGCCGUUGACAAAACGGAGGAAGGUGGGGAGGACGUCAAAUCAUCAUGCCCUUUAUGACCUGGGCUACACACGUACUACAAUGGCGUUUAACAAAGAGAAGCAAGACCGCGAGGUGGAGCAAGACUCAAAAACAACGUCUCAGUUCAGAUUGCAGGCUGCAACUCGCCUGCAUGAAGUCGGAAUUGCUAGUAAUCGCGGAUCAGCAUGCCGCGGUGAAUACGUUCCCGGGCCUUGUACA